rnacentral:miRNA from 1 species
UAAUACUGCUAAUGUCUCCUGAG